GAAGUAAAAGUCGUAACAAGGUUCCGUAGGGAACCUGUGGAAGUAAAAGUCGAACAAGUCUCCGUUGGUGAACCAGCGGAGGGAUCAUUAUCGAAGUUACUCUUCAUACCCAUUUGUGAACACUACCCCAUUGCCGCGCGUUGCCUCGGCGGUGAGGUCCGCGGGGGGUGGGUAGCGCUCCGGCGCCGCCCCCCCUCCCCGGGCCCCCGCCGGCCGCGCCUUACUCUUAAUUUGCAAAGCGGACUGUACGAUCUGAUUAAUCUUGAUAAACAAGUCAAAACUUUCAACAACGGAUCUCUUGGUUCUGGCAUCGAUGAAGAACGCAGCGAAAUGCGAUAAGUAAUGUGAAUUGCAGAAUUCAGUGAAUCAUCGAAUCUUUGAACGCACAUUGCGCCCGGCAGCAAUCUGCCGGGCAUGCCUGUCCGAGCGUCAUUUCUCCCCUCGAGCGCGGUUGGCCCCUAGCGGGCCGGCCGCCGCCCGGUGUUGGGGCACUGCGGGCCACAGCGCCCGCAGGCCCUCAAAUGAAGUGGCGGUCCCGCCGCGGCGCCCCCUGCGUAGUAGUAAAGCACCUCGCAUCGGGUCCCGGCGAAGACCAGCCGUCGAACCUAUCUCUGGCGGUGGCUUUCGGUCACGAGGGACCAAAAGAAAUCUUUCUUAGGUUGACCUCGGAUCAGGUAGGGAUACCCGCUGAACUUAAGCAUAUCAAUAAGACGGAGGA
rnacentral:sRNA from 1 species